CAGAGCGCAUCUUUGUUUUAACCUCAAGAGGAUUUAGAUUCAAAACCUAUUUUAAUUUUUGGAUCUCGUUUAUUAUCUUACAGAGGAGCAAUGUGCUGAAAUAUAAGGCAAGACCAACAAGGUGUAAGAAGGAUUGCUAAUGUAAUCAGAAACUUGAUGGCUGAGAUAAAGCGGCUGAGGAGAACAGGCUUGUGACUGGGAAUAGGUUGGUGGAACUUGUGUACAGCCCUUUCUAUGUUCAACCCAUGUCUCAGGUGGAAGUACAUUCAGUACAGUUUUCAUGGAGAUCCAGCUUUAUUCAAGGCUCAUCUUAAAGAGAAUGAUGUGGCUGCUGGGACAUAACUUAAGUCUACAUACAACUGCUUGCAGAUCUCAAGAAGCCUGGGGUUCUCAUGCAGCACCGCAAGCACUCAGGCUGAUUGGGAAGUUAAUUUCUGGUCCUUUGAUAAAGUUGAUUUACAAGAACGCAAUGUGGCGAUCAGUUGUACUCUGUUUCUUAAAGUCAUGGAAGCGUUGUUGACUUCUACUGAGCCUUUCUUGGUGCGACAGCUGGAGAGGUAUCUGAUGGGAAAUCUGAUUGGUGUUCAGCUGGUGGGAGCAAGGUGAUCAGGGUGUGUCGCAAUACAGUGGAAGGACUAUUAAAAGACUGCCAGCAACAAAACAAAAGUCAGCUCUUUACACCAUAAGCUACUGGGCAGAGGAUG